CUUCACCGAACCCAGGAACAACGGCUUGUCCUCGGAACGACCGUGCCCAUAGGUCGCCAACAGAGCCUGCGCCUC
rnacentral:antisense_RNA from 1 species